rnacentral:rRNA from 1 species
UACGAAGGGGGCUAGCGUUGCUCGGAAUUACUGGGCGUAAAGGGCGCGUAGGCGGACAUUUAAGUUAGAGGUGAAAGCCCAGGGCUCAACCCUGGAAUAGCCUUUAAUACUGGAUGUCUUGAGUUCGGGAGAGGUGAGUGGAACUCCGAGUGUAGAGGUGAAAUUCGUAGAUAUUCGGAAAGAACACCAGUGGCGAAGGCGACUCACUGGCCCGAUACUGACGCUGAGGGCGCGA